rnacentral:rRNA from 1 species
AUUGAACGCUGGCGGCAUGCCUUACACAUGCAAGUCGAACGGCAGCACGGGAGCAAUCCUGGUGGCGAGUGGCGAACGGGUGAGUAAUAUAUCGGAACGUGCCCAGUCGUGGGGGAUAACGUAGCGAAAGCUACGCUAAUACCGCAUACGAUCUAUGGAUGAAAGCGGGGGAUCGCAAGACCUCGCGCGAUUGGAGCGGCCGAUAUCAGAUUAGGUAGUUGGUGAGGUAAAGGCGCACCAAGCCGACGAUCUGUAGCUGGUCUGAGAGGACGACCAGCCACACUGGGACUGAGACACGGCCCAGACUCCUACGGGAGGCAGCAGUGGGGAAUUUUGGACAAUGGGUGCAAGCCUGAUCCAGCAAUGCCGCGUGCAGGAUGAAGGCCUUCGGGUUGUAAACUGCUUUUGUACGGAACGAAACGGCGAGCUCUAAUACAGCUUGCUAAUGACGGUACCGUAAGAAUAAGCACCGGCUAACUACGUGCCAGCAGCCGCCGUAA